rnacentral:rRNA from 1 species
UACGUAGGGGGCUAGCGUUGUCCGGAAUCAUUGGGCGUAAAGCGCGUGUAGGCGGACUCUUAAGUCGGUGGUGAAAUCCUGGAGCUCAACUCCAGAACUGCCUUCGAUACUGGGAGUCUCGAGUCCGGGAGAGGUGAGUGGAACUGCGAGUGUAGAGGUGAAAUUCGUAGAUAUUCGCAAGAACACCAGUGGCGAAGGCGGCUCACUGGCCCGGUACUGACGCUGGAGGUGCGAAAGGCGUGGGGAGCAAACAGG